CGCCAGCAUCAAGAGUCGAACGACGUUCGACGCCAACCUGCUCCCCGAGCAAGGUGGCGCCCCCGGCAACGGGGGGAUGUGGCCGGACCGGCAACCAAACGGGACCUC
rnacentral:ncRNA from 2 species